rnacentral:rRNA from 1 species
UCUGGCGUGCCUAAUACAUGCAUGUCGAGCGAAUCUCAGUGAGCUUGCUCCCUGAGAUUAGCGGCGGACGGGCUACACGUGGGCAACCUGCCUGUAACGACUGGGAUAACUUCGGGAAACCGGAGCUAAUACCGGAUCAUUCUUAUUCUAGCUCACUGCAGUGAACAGCUGACAAGACUUGUUUCGUGCUAUCACUUACAGAUGGGCCCGCGGCGCAUUAGCUAGUUGGUGAGGUAACGGCUCACCAAGGCAACGAUGCGUAGCCGACCUGAGAGGGUGAUCGGCCACACUGGGACUGAGACACGGCCCAGACUCCUACGGGAGGCAGCAGUAGGGAAUCUUCCGCAAUGGACGAAAGUCUGACGGAGCAACGCCGCGUGAGUGAUGAAGGUUUACGGAUCGUAAAACUCUGUAGUACGGGAAGAACAAGUAAUCGGAAUAACUGCCGGUAACUUGACGGUACCUUAACCAGAAAGCCACGGCUAAUACGUGCCAGCAGCCGCGGAAUACGUUAGUGGAAGCGUAGUCGGAAUUAUAGGGCGUAAAGAGCGCGCAAAGAGGACCUAUAAGUCUUGAUGUGAAAAGCCCAGG